AAUCCCCACCUCCCCCCACCCCCGAACCUCACGGCCACCCUGGGAAGGAGGCUUGACUUGUGACAUCCACCCCUCUUCACGGCUGAGGAACUUUGGCCCCGAGCGAGGAAGCGACCGGCCCACGGCCACACGCCCGGAGUGGGUAAAUAUCUACUCAUGGGAUUGCUGGGCUGUAUGGGGAAUUCCUUCAGGAGAAAAGCCAAAUAAAUGUGGAUAUCACCCAGUGUGAUUGGGCAGCAUCUUCUACUAUGUGCAUCUACAUUGGAUGGCAGUGGAGCAACACAGAUUGUUUUCUGACAAAAAUCAGCCAAGUACUAGGAGAGGCAGGACUUUAGAAGUGGAGGAGAUGGAGAAGGAAGCUUAGGUUACUAUGGAGUGUGCAAAAAGGUCCUGUGGAUUUAGAUACCACCACACACAAAUGGUGUUGUUGGAAGGUACCUGCCCAGAUAAGGACUGCAUUUCCUCUAGCAUCCAGAUGGGACCAAAUGACUGCUGGCCAAUAGAAGUGAGUGGAAAGGACUGACUCCAGUUCCAGGUUGGGCCUCCAACUGCUCUGGGCACGUCGAUGGAACAGAACACCACCUCCACCCCAAUACCACCAAUUCAACUUUACAUGAAUUAUAAGCGAGAAAUAACUUGGACUGUGUUAAGUCAUUGAGUUUCUGGGGUUUAACUGUUAUUAUAGUUAAGAAUGACUUUAACUAAUAUAGUCAAUGACAUCUAACUGGAGUUAUGAAAUUCAAUUUCUACUUAGAGUAAUUGAAGCAAAG
rnacentral:lncRNA from 1 species